rnacentral:rRNA from 1 species
AGUGAACGCUGGCGGUAGGCCUAACACAUGCAAGUCGAACGGCAGCACAGUAAGAGCUUGCUCUUACGGGUGGCGAGUGGCGGACGGGUGAGGAAUACAUCGGAAUCUACUUUUUCGUGGGGGAUAACGUAGGGAAACUUACGCUAAUACCGCAUACGACCUACGGGUGAAAGCAGGGGAUCUUCGGACCUUGCGCGAUUGAAUGAGCCGAUGUCGGAUUAGCUAGUUGGCGGGGUAAAGGCCCACCAAGGCGACGAUCCGUAGCUGGUCUGAGAUGAUGAUCAGCCACACUAGAACUGAGAAAAGCUCCAGACUCCUAAGGGAGGCAGCAGUGGGGAAUAUUGGACGAUGGGCGCAAGCAUGAUACAGCAAUACCGCGUGGGUGAAGAAGGCGUUCGAGUUGUAAAGCCCUUUUGUUGGGAAAGAAAAGCAGCAAGUUAAUACCCCGCUGUUCUGACGGUACCCAAGGAAUAAGCACCGGCUAACUACGUG